rnacentral:rRNA from 1 species
UACGUAGGCAGCGAGCGUUGUUCGGAAUUACUGGGCGUAAAGAGUGUGUAGGCGGUGCUCCAAGUCUGUUGUGAAAUCUCCCGGCUUAACUGGGAGGUGCGGCGGAAACUAGAGUGCUAGAGGGUGGGAGAGGUAAGCGGAAUUCCUGGUGUAGCGGUGAAAUGCGUAGAUAUCAGGAGGAACACCUGUGGUGUAGACAGCUUACUGGACCACUUCUGACGCUGGACGACGAAAGCGUGGGUAGCAAACAGG